GGAAUGUUCCUCAAAUACUGGAUGCGCCGUCGUCUCACAAGCUCAUAUGUGGUCUGAUUUGUCAAAAUUAGAUAGCUAUGAAAAAGUAGGAGGAGGAGAAGGAAGAUGAGGCAGAAAAACAGAGUAGCUAGCAGCAAGAUCAUAAUUGCAUAUAACCACCAAGGCUUUGAAUAUAUAUCAGACUUCAAAAAUUGAAUAUAUAACGUGCCCGUCCAAAGGGAUAAGGCUGUUUCUCCACAAAUGUACCACCAAAAAGC
rnacentral:misc_RNA from 1 species